rnacentral:rRNA from 1 species
ACGCUUGCUGCAUGCUUUAUACAUGCAAGUCGAACGAAGGCCCUAGCUUGCUAGGUGUCCUUAGUGGCGCACGGGUGAGUAACACGUGGGAACAUACCUCAUAGUACGGAAUAACUGCGGGAAACUGUAGCUAAUACCGUAUAUUCCAGUAAUGGGAAAGAUUUAUCGCUAUGAGAUUGGCCCGCGCAAGAUUAGUUUGUUGGUAAGGUAAUGGCUUACCAAGGCUACGAUCUUUAGCUGGUUUGAGAGGAUGAUCAGCCACACUGGGACUGAGACACGGCCCAGACUCCUACGGGAGGCAGCAGUAGGGAAUAUUGGACAAUGGGGGAAACCCUGAUCCAGCAAUGCAGCGUGAGUGACGAAGGCCUUAGGGUUGUAAAACUCUUUCAUCGGUGAGGAUAAUGACAGUAACCGAAGAAGAAGGACCGGCUAAUUCCGUGCCAGCAGCCGCGGUAAUACGGAAGGUCCUAGCGUUGUUCGGAAUUACUGGGCGUAAAGCGCAUGUAGGCGGAACAGAAAGUUAGAAGUGAAAUCCCUGGGCUCAACCUAGGAAUUGCUUUUAAAACUUCUGUUCUGGAAUUAAGGAGAGGAAAAUGGAAUAUCCAGUGUAGAGGUGAAAUUCGUAGAUAUUGGAUGGAACACCAGUGGCGAAGGCGAUUUUCUGGACUUAUAUUGACGCUGAGAUGCGAAGGCAUGGGUAGCAAACGGGAUUAGAUACCCCGGUAGUCCAUGCAGUAAACGAUGGGUGCUAGUCGUCGGACUUAUGUUCGGUGUCGUAGCUAACGCGUUAAGCACCCCGCCUGGGGAGUACGGUCG